GAAAUGUUUGUCGAGAAGGGUUGUAGCUGGCCUCCAGGGGCAUGUGCACACCCUGAUCGCAUCCACCUCCCACACCUGUGCACCGCCUGUAGCUUGGGAUGAUCACGGAGCCCUGAUGGGCGACGAAUGCCCUCGUCUAUGAAUAUUCUCACACACGCUCAAAGUAUGACAGAAUGUACAUCAUAUUGCGUCUGAUAAACGUGACAAAUACAACUUUCAACAACGGAUCUCUUGGCUCUCGCAUCGAUGAAGAACGCAGCGAAAUGCGAUAAGUAAUGUGAAUUGCAGAAUUCAGUGAAUCAUCGAAUCUUUGAACGCACCUUGCGCUCCUUGGUAUUCCGAGGAGCAUGCCUGUUUGAGUGUUAUGAAAUUCUCAACUGCCCCAGGCUUUGUGGCCUGCAGGUGAAGUUGGACUUGGAGGUAUUAUGCUGGCGCAUGAAUGGGCUUUUGCGGCCCUGCCUUGCUUGUUGGCUCCUCUUGAAUGCAUGAGCUUUCCAAUCCUUG
rnacentral:misc_RNA from 1 species